rnacentral:rRNA from 1 species
UUGGAGGGCAAGUCUGGUGCCAGCAGCCGCGGUAAUUCCCGCUCCAAUAGCGUAUAUUAAAGUUGUUGCAGUUAAAAAGCUCGUAGUUGAAUUUCGGGAUUGACGUGAUGGUCAUGCCUUAAGGGGUAUGAACUGUUACUGUUGAUUUCUCACCAUCUGGAGAAACUUGAUGUCCUUUAUUGGGUGUCUUGCGGAUCCAGGACCUUUACCUUGAAAAAAUUAGAGUGUUUAAAGCAGGCAUUUUUGCUCGAAUACAUUAGCAUGGAAUAAUAGAAUAGGACGGCAUGGUUCUAUUUUGUUGGUUUCUAGGAUCACCGUAAUGAUUAAUAGGGAUAGUUGGGGGCAUUAGUAUUCAAUUGUCAGAGGUGAAAUUCUUGGAUUUAUUGAAGACUAACUACUGCGAAAGCAUUUGCCAAGGAUGUUUUCAUUAAUCAAGAACGAAAGUUAGGGGAUCGAAGACGAUCAGAUACCGUCGUAGUCUUAACCAUAAACUAUGCCGACUAGGAAUCAGACGAUGUUAAUUUUUUAAUGGCUCGUUUGGCACCUUACGGGAAACCAAAGUGUUUGGGUUC